rnacentral:sRNA from 1 species
AAGGGACCUAGCGUAGUUCGGAAUUACUGGGCUUAAAGAGUUCGUAGGUGGUUGAAAAAGUUGGUGGUGAAAUCCCAGAGCUUAACUCUGGAACUGCCAUCAAAACUUUUCAGCUAGAGUAUGAUAGAGGAAAGCAGAAUUUCUAGUGUAGAGGUGAAAUUCGUAGAUAUUAGAAAGAAUACCAAUUGCGAAGGCAGCUUUCUGGAUCAUUACUGACACUGAGGAACGAAAGCAUGGGUAGCGAAGAGGAUUAGAUACCCUCGUAGUCCAUGCCGUAAACGAUGUGUGUUAGACGUUGGAAAUUUAUUUUCAGUGUCGCAGGGAAACCGAUAAACACACCGCCUGGGGAGUACGACCGCAAGGUUAAAACUCAAAUGAAUUGACGGGGACCCGCACAAGUAGUGGAGCGUGUGGUUUAAUUCGAAGAUACGCGCAGAACCUUACCAACACUUGACAUGUUCGUCGCGACUCUAAGAGAUUAGAGUUUUCGGUUCGGCCGGACGAAACACAGGUGCUGCAUGGCUGUCGUCAGCUCGUGUCGUGAGAUGUUGGGUUAAGUCCCGCAACGAGCGCAACCCUCACUUUUAGUUGCCAUCAUUAAGUUGGGCACUCUGAAAGAACUGCCAGUGAUAAGCUGGAGGAAGGUGGGGAUGACGUCAAGUCCUCAUGGCCCUUACGUGUUGGGCUACACACGUGCUACAAUGGCAUCUACAACAGGAAGCAAAACGGCAACGUUAAGCAAAUCCCGAAAAGAUGCCUCAGUUCGGAUUGCACUCUGCAACUCGAGUGCAUGAAGCUGGAAUUACUAGUAAUCGUGGAUCAGCGUGCCACGGUGAAUGCGUUCCCGGGUCUUGUACACACCGCCCGUCACACCAUGGGAGUUGGUUCUACCUUAAGGCAAGGUUUUAAACCCUUGACCACGGUAUAGUCAGCGACUGGGGUGAAGUCGUAACAAGGUAGCCGUAGGGGAACCUGCGGCUGGAUUACCUCCUUUCUAAGGAUGAGUGAAAGUAAAAUUUCACUCUAAAUAAUAUACAUCGGUAAUGUUGACCGUCCUCAUUUCUCUUCUUAAAGUAAUGUUUCCUUCUUGUAGGGCCGGUAGCUCAGUUGGUUAGAGCACAACCUUGAUAAGGGUGGGGUCGAAAGUUCGAGUCUUUCUCGGCCCACCAAAAACCUAAAUGGGGGAUUAGCUCAUCUGGGAGAGCGCCUGAUUUGCAUUCAGGAGGUAGCAGGUUCGAUCCCUGUAUCCUCCACCAGGAAACAUUUAGUUAUUAAAACUGUAAAUAAAAAUAAUUUAUAUCAAUAUCUAUAUCCGAACAUUAAAAGUUAUUAUUUAAUGUUCAAAAUAAAAAUUUGAUCACAACAUAGAUAAAUUUUCUUUAAAAAGAAUUUUUUUCUGUGCAUAAAUCAAGCGUUUAAGGGCGUGUAGUGGAUGCCUUGGCACUGAAAGCCGAUGAAGGACGUGAUAUACUGCGAUAAGUUUCGGGGAGCUGUAUGUAAGCUUUGAUCCGAAAAUUU